CCUGCCCUUCAGAUGACAGAGCAUGUGCUCAAGCCCACCCGUUUUAAAUUGAACUCACUUGCUCUGGAGGCUUCCAUCAGCUGCUAGGACCAUCCUGAACUGAGUUCUUCAAGAACACAAACCCGGCCCAGAGGCAACCACUGCUAAAAACAAGCCAGACAGCAGGCAGGAGGCAGGAAUGGGCUCUGGCAAGAGCCCAAGGACAGCAAGUUUCAACAGGGUGUUUUUUGAAGAGAUUGUUGGCGACAUUAUCUUAUUAAGUUACAGGAAGAUCAUCCUUCCAUGAGUAAAGUCUAUAUGAAAAACAAUCCAGCAAACAUCACGGUGCCGUUAUCUGUGAGAGUUGCCCCUGCAAAUCUCUGACCAGGGCUGCUGUGCUAGGAUGAACCUCUCCCCAGGUCUGGCCCUCUUUCUGCACUAGCUUUUAAUUGUUAAUGAAUUAAACUUUCUGAGGAGAU
rnacentral:lncRNA from 1 species